CGGGCACGGUACCGAGCACCACGCUUCGGACUAGACACGAAACACGGCACCAGGUACGGCAGACGGUCCGCAGGGACGACGCCGGCCCGGACUCGCCGGGCUGGGGGAUUCCUGCGACCUCACCGCGCUGGGAGAGGAAACUAUCCGUUCACCACUAAAGCACCCUGCUGUUCCGCCGGUCUCUCCAUCCCAGCAGAUAUCCACACACCAAACCACCGGCUGCGAACCGUACUAAAAACAGCUCUACGGAAGACAGGAGCAGUUCAACAGGGAGCAGCUGGUCCUGCCGCAAUGGGAAGUGUCCACGCUCCUCACAAGACUUUGAUGCUCUGUUCAAGGGGACGUGGUCCUUUUCAUUAAAUAUUCUAUCCUUUCGGUUGAUCCUCUUAUUUUUAACCAGCUUCAAGUUAUAUGUCACUACAGUGGCUUUUUGGGUGGGGAAGGGAGAAAAUGACCUUUUGCUCCUACAGAAACAA